rnacentral:piRNA from 1 species
UACACGUGUGACUGUGUUGAGGUUCCUUG